rnacentral:rRNA from 1 species
AGGGUUUGAUCAUGGCUCAGGAUGAACGCUAGCGACAGGCCUAACACAUGCAAGUCGAGGGGCAUCAUGGUAUCAGCUUGCUGAUACCGAUGGCGACCGGCGCACGGGUGAGUAACGCGUAUGUAAUCUACCUGUAACAGAGGGAUAACCCGGAGAAAUCCGGCCUAAUACCUCAUAAUACAUAUUAUUCGCAUGAGUUUUAUGUUAAAGAAAUUCGGUUACAGAUGAACAUGCGUUCCAUUAGCUAGUUGGCGGGGUAACGGCCCACCAAGGCGACGAUGGAUAGGGGUUCUGAGAGGAAGGUCCCCCACACUGGUACUGAGACACGGACCAG